rnacentral:lncRNA from 1 species
UACAGGCUAAGCAAUAACAGGUCAUCAUCCUAGCUAAUUGUUAUGUCUUCAAGUCCGAUACCCUGUGCCCGAGGGAAACAGACUUUGUGUUGCAAGCUCUGAACUACUAGAGCAGUAGUGCUAGUGCAGAAACCGGUAGUACUCCCUCGGUCCCAAAAUAUAAAAAUGUUUUUAACACUAGCAUGGUGUCAAAAACGUUCUUAUAUUCCGUGACAGAGGGAGUAUUUCACAGGUCAAUGCGAGCGGAGCACGACGGGGACAUGCCACUGCACACCACUGCCAAGUCAAAUUCCAG